AUUGCCCCAGUAACGGCGAGUGAAGCGGCAACAGCUCAAAUUUGAAAUCUGGCUCCCAGAGCCCGAGUUGUAAUUUGUAGAGGAUGCUUUUGAUGCGGUGCCUUCCGAGUUCCCUGGAACGGGACGCCAUAGAGGGUGAGAGCCCCGUCUGGUCGGAUGCCAAAUCUCUGUAAAGCUCCUUCGACGAGUCGAGUAGUUUGGGAAUGCUGCUCAAAAUGGGAGGUAUAUGUCUUCUAAAGCUAAAUACCGGCCAGAGACCGAUAGCGCACAAGUAGAGUGAUCGAAAGAUGAAAAGCACUUUGAAAAGAGGGUUAAAUAGUACGUGAAAUUGUUGAAAGGGAAGCGCCUAUGACCAGACUUGGGCCCGGUGAAUCAUCCAGCGUUCUCGCUGGUGCACUUUGCCGGGCACAGGCCAGCAUCAGUUUGUCUUGGGGGAAAAAGGCUUUGGGAACGUGGCUCCCCCGGGAGUGUUAUAGACCAUUGCAUAAUACCCUGAGAUGGACUGAGGUUCGCGCAUCUGCAAGGAUGCUGGCGUAAUGGUCAUCAGCGACCCGUCUUGAAACACGGACCAAGGAGUCGUCUUCGUAUGCGAGUGUUCGGGUGUAAAACCCCUACGCGUAAUGAAAGUGAACGCAGGUGAGAGCUUCGGCGCAUCAUCGACCGAUCCUGAUGUUCUCGGAUGGAUUUGAGUAAGAGCAUACGGGGCCGGACCCGAAAGAAGGUGAACUAUUCCUGUAUAGGGUGAAGCCAGAGGAAACUCUGGUGGAGGCUCGCAGCGGUUCUGACGUGCGAAUCGAUCGUCAAAUAUGGGAAUGGGGGCGAAAGACUAAUCGAACCUUCUAGUAGCUGG
rnacentral:rRNA from 1 species